ACUCAAAGGAGACUGCCGGUGAUAAACCGGAGGAAGGUGGGGAUGACGUCAAGUCAUCAUGGCCCUUACGAGUAGGGCUACACACGUGCUACAAUGGCGCAUACAAAGAGAAGCGACCUCGCGAGAGCAAGCGGACCUCACAAAGUGCGUCGUAGUCCGGAUCGGAGUCUGCAACUCGACUCCGUGAAGUCGGAAUCGCUAGUAAUCGUGGAUCAGAAUGCCACGGUGAAUACGUUCCCGGGCCUUGUACACACCGCCCGUCACACCAUGGGAGUGGGUUGCAAAAGAAGUAGGUAGCUUAACCUUCGGGAGGGCGCUUACCACUUUGUGAUUCAUGACUGGGGUGAAGUCGUAACAAGGUAACCGUAGGGGAACCUGCGGUUGGAUCACCUCCUUACCUGAA
rnacentral:rRNA from 1 species